rnacentral:misc_RNA from 1 species
GAUAAGAACGCAGCGAAAUGCGAUAAGUAGUGUGAAUUGCAGAAUUCAGUGAAUCAUCGAAUCUUUGAACGCAUAUUGCGCUCUCUGGUAUUCCGGAGAGCAUGCUUGUUUGAGUAUCAGUAAACACCUCAACUCCCUUUUCUUUUUUGAAAUUGGAGCUGGACUUGAGUGAUCCCAACGCUUUCUUCCAAGAAAGUGGCGGGUUGCUUGAAAUGCAGGUGCAGCUGAACUUUUCUCUGAGCUAUAAGCAUAUCUAUUUAGUCUGCCUAAAAAACAGAUUAUUACCUUUGCUGCAGCUAACAUAAAGGAGACUAGUUCUUGUGCUGACUGAUGCAGGAUUCACAGAGACAGCUUCGGCUGACUUUGUAAACUCGAUCUCAAAUCAAGUAAGACUACCCGCUGAACUUAAGCAUAUCAAUAAGCGGAGGA